rnacentral:rRNA from 1 species
GCUUGUCUCAAAGAUUAAGCCAUGCAUGUCUAAGUAUAGUACCUUAUACUGCGAAACUGCGAAUGGCUCAUUAAAUCAGUUAUAAUUCAUUUGAUGGUACUUACUACUCGGAUAACCGUAGUAAUUCUAGAGCUAAUACGUGCGUAAAUCCCGACUUCUGGAAGGGACGUAUUUAUUAGAUAAAAGGCCAGCCGGGUUCUGCCCGGUUUUGUGUUGAAUCAUAGUAACUUUUCGAAUCGCAUGGCUUCACGCCGGCGAUAGUUCAUUCAAAUUUCUGCCCUAUCAGCUUUCGACGGUAGUGUAGUGGACUACCGUGGCGUUAACGGGUAACGGAGAAUUAGGGUUCGAUUCCGGAGAGGGAGCCUGAGAAACGGCUACCACAUCUAAGGAAGGCAGCAGG